AGAGCUAUUCAGAAACUUGGGCCAAAACCGGAAAUUACCCGCUUCAAAGGUCUGGGUGAGAUUUCACCAGAAGAAUUCGGAAAUUUUAUUGGAGAAGAUAUCCGGCUGGAACCAAUUAUUUUACACAAAGACACUUCCAUUUCUAAACUGCUUACUUAUUAUAUGGGCAAAAAUACGCCCGAAAGGCAGCGGUUUAUUAUUGAGAAUCUGCGGGUAGAAAAAGACCUGACAACCGCCGAAACUUUACCUAUUGAAAAAGCAGAAGAGGUAGAAGUAGAGUAAAAGAAUUUGUAAUAAUUACAAUAGGCUGUUAGAGAUAUGGGAUAGUAGAACAAUAAAUCGGAAAGAUUGAGCAAUAUAUCAUUGUAACUAUUUGCUCUAAUCUUAGCAUCUUUGAGUGCUCAACCGGGCACAUUCAUUGUUUUACAUUAACCUGUUGCCACAUGGAUUUAAACGAACUCAGAAGCCAGAUAGACCAGUUAGAUAAUGAAAUGCUUCAAC
rnacentral:misc_RNA from 1 species